rfam:Ciona savignyi cont_33052, whole genome shotgun sequence.
GCAUUGGUAAUUCAGUGGUAGAAUCCUCGCCUGCCACGCGGGGGGCCCGGGUUCGAUUCCAGGCCAAUGCA